rfam:Mustela putorius furo unplaced genomic scaffold scaffold00056, whole genome shotgun sequence.
ACUGGGGGCAGUGGCCCACGCCUGGAGUCCCAGCUACUUCGGAGGCUGAGGCAGGAGGAUGCCUUGAUCCCAGGAGUUCUGGGCUAUGGUGCCCUCUGCCAUUUGGGCAUCGGCACUAAGUUGGGCAUCAACAUAGUGGCCUCCCACGAGCUGGGGGGACCAUCAAGUUGCCUAAGGAGGGGUGAAUCGGCCCAGGUCAGAAAUACAGCAGGUCACGGGACACCUGGGUGUCUCAGUCAGUUAAGCAUCUGCCUUUGGCUCGGGUCACGAUCCCAGCGUCCUGGGAUCGAGUUCCACAUCAGGUUCCUU